UUGUGUGCGGCGGUGGUUUUUUUAGAGUUUGGGUUUGAGUGUUCGAAUGGAUGUGGAAGUCUGUGGUUAUCUCUUUGCCGAGGAAAGGAUCAAGGCAGAGAUUUCUUGGACCUGACAAUGGAUGAUAAGCGGAUUACGGUUCCCUUAGAAACCUUGACCAAGUUCAUCUUUCCACGCUGAGUACUACAUAGAGGGAAAUUAUCACAUCUUUGAUGAACGAAGAACAAUCAAUGUCAACAUCAUGCAGGAACAUGAGAUUUAAAAGCCAGUUGCACAACAGGACUCCCAGACAGUGUCCGGGUUUAUUUACCUAGAUCUAGAUCUCUUGGCGUGUAAACCACUGGUAGAAGAGUGAGUUCCAAAGAUUCAAGGACGUGCACUCGAGACGAGCAGCAAAUAUACAACGUUUUGCUGGGGGGAAUCACAGACUGAUAUCUUACCUGCCCAAGCAGCAAACAUUACAAAGUUUUGCGGGGGGGAAUCACAGACUGAUUUCUUACCUGCCCAAGCAGCAAACAUUACAAAGUUUUGCGGGGGGGAAUCACAGACUGAUUUCUUACCUGCCCGAUGAUCGACGAGAGACAGCUCAGCGAGGAAGGAGUUGGGUACAGUGCACAACAUGACGUUGUGUUUUGAAACGGUUGUAAAGACGGAGGUAUAGUAGAAGAAAAGAAAGAAAGAAAGAAAGAAAGAAAGAAAGAAAGAAAGAAAGAAAGAAAGAAA